GUAAGGUGGCCGAGUUAAGGCGGUGGUUUGUAAUUCCAUUUAUGGGGUGGAUGCCCUUCUUAUCA
rnacentral:tRNA from 1 species